GACGAACGCUGGCGGCGUGCCUAACACACGCAAGUAGAACGCAGUUGCGAACGCGUGAGUAACGCGUAGGUAACUGCCUCAUAGCGGGGGAUUACUAUCUGAAACGAUUGCCAAUACCGCAUACUGUGCGCUGGACCUGCGUUGUAUUAGCUAGUUGGUGGGGGAAAGGCUCACCAAGGCGACGAUAUAGAGCCGACCUGAGAGGGUGAUCGGCCACACGGGAAGUUAAACACGGCCCAGAGUCCUACGGGAGGCAGCAGUGGGGAAUAUUCGGCAAUGGAAGAAAGUCUGACCGAGCAACGCCGCGUGUGUGAAGAAGGUUUUCGGGUCGUAAAGCUCUUUUAUUAGGGAAGCGGUAUCUGACCAAAAAGCCACGGCUAACUACGUGCCAGCCGCCGCGGUAAUAG
rnacentral:rRNA from 1 species